rnacentral:rRNA from 1 species
GACGAACGCUGGCGGCGUGCCUAACACAUGCAAGUCGAACGAAGUUAAUAGGAAGCUUGCUUUUUGUUAACUUAGUGGCGGACGGGUGAGUAACGCGUGAGUAACCUGCCUUAGAGUGGGGGAUAACACAGGGAAACUUGUGCUAAUACCGCAUAACAUAUUCUGACCGCAUGGUCGGGAUAUCAAAGAUUUAUUGCUCUAAGAUGGACUCGCGUCCAAUUAGGUAGUUGGUGAGGUAACGGCCCACCAAGCCGACGAUUGGUAGCCGGGCUGAGAGGCUCAACGGCCACAUUGGGACUGAGACACGGCCCAGACUCCUACGGGAGGCAGCAGUGGGGGAUAUUGCACAAUGGAGGAAACUCUGAUGCAGCAACGCCGCGUGAAGGAAGAAGGUCUUCGGAUUGUAAACUUCUGUCUUGUGGGAAGAUAAUGACGGUACCACAGGAGGAAGCAACGGCUAACUACGUG